rnacentral:lncRNA from 1 species
AUGGGAUUUGGGGAUCUGGGAUUUCUUGGAUUCUGGGAUUUCCAAGAUCUGGAGAUUCCCAGGAUUCAGGGAUUCCCAAAAGUUUGGGAUUUUUUGCAUUCUGAGACUUCCAGGAUUCCCACGAUUCAGAAAUUCCCAGGAUUUGGCAUUCCUGGCAUUCCCAGGACUUGGGGAUUCCCAGGAUUUUGGGAUUCCCAAAAUUCCGGAAUUCCCAUUUUCCCGCCUCAGGAUCGGCGCCGCCCCCGCAGAUUUUGGGGAUUUUUGGUGUUCCCCAAAACCCCAAAUUUGGGGAUUUGGAGCGGUUUGGGGGUGGGGGAUGGGCGGUGCCGGGGCUUUCCCGGCGUUCCCGGGAUGAUUUUGGGAUUUCCUGAGAUGAUUUUGGGAUUUCCCGGGAUGAUUUUGGGAUUUCCUGAGAUGAUUUUGGGAUUUCCCGGGAUGAUUUUGGGAUUUCCCGGGAUGAUUUUGGGAUUUCCCGGGAUGAUUUUGGGAUUUCCCGGGAUGAUUUUGGGAUUUCCCGGGAUGAUUUUGGGAUUUCCCGGGACAAUCCCAAAUCCACCCUCGGCUUCCGCUUUUCCUUCGUGGCAAAAUCCCGAAUUUCCAUCCUGGGGAGCGCCGAGAUUUUCAUGGGAGUGGGGGAAAAAUGGGAUUCAGAGGUGGAAAAUCGGGAUCCAGGGGUGGAAAAAGGGGAUCCAGGGGUGGAAAAUUGGGAUCCAGGGGUGGAAAAUCGGGAUUCAGGGGUGGAAAAUCGGGAUCCAGUCAUGGAAAACAGAAUCCAGCGGAAAAAAAUGGGGAUCCAGGCUUGGAAAUUUGGGAUCUGGGGGUGGAAAUUUGGGAUCCAGGCUUGGAAAUUUGGGAUCCAGGCAUGAAAAUUUGGGAUCCAGGUGUGGAAAUUUGGGAUCCAGGUGUGGAAAUUNNNNNNNNNNAAAUUUGGGAUCCAGGUGUGGAAAUUUGGGAUCCAGGUGUGGAAAUUCGGGAUCCGGGGGUGGAAAUUCAGGAUCUGGGAGCGGCUCCCAGCCCCGAUCCCGCCUGGAUCUGCCCCGAGUUCCCUCCGGAAUUCCCGGGAUUCCUGGAAUUCCCAGAAUUCCCAGCCCUUUCUCGCUCGCUUGGCGCUCCCUCACUAACCCCCGACGCUGCCGCGCCCCAAAAUCCCGGAAUUCCCCCAAAUCCUCGGGAUCCCCGGGAAUCCACGCCGGGAUUGGGGUGAAAAUCCAGGAAUUCGAAAUCCAGGGAUUCAAAACGCAAGGAUUCAAAAUCCAGGGAUCAAAAUCCAAAGAUUCAAAAUCCAAGGAUUUAAAAUCCAGGCAUCAAAAUCCAGGAAUGGGAAUUUUUGGGGGGAUUUUUGCCGUUCCCAUGGGAAUUCCGCUCCAGGAGCGUCCCAGGGGAUUUUUCCUCCUCCUGCUUCCCGAAAUUCCUCGGGAAUGGGAAUUUGGGGGGGCUGGGGGAUCCCUGGGCUUGUUUUUUCUGGAAUGUUUUUCUGGAGCCGCUUUUGGGUGGAUUUUUCCCAUUCCUGCCUCCCAAAAAUCCCUUAAAAGUAGGAUUUAG